UACGAACUGUGCAAACGUUAUUCGGAAUCACUGGGCUUACAGGGUGCGUAGGCGGCCAGACAAGUAGGGUGUGAAAGCCCCCGGCUUAACCGGGGAAUGGCGCCCUAAACUGUAUGGCUGGAGUGAGAUAGGGGUGUGCGGAACUUCCGGUGGAGCGGUGAAAUGUGUUGAUAUCGGAAGGAACGCCGGUGGCGAAAGCGGCGACACUGGAUCUCAACUGACGCUGAGGCACGAAGCCAGG
rnacentral:rRNA from 1 species